rnacentral:rRNA from 1 species
GAUGAACGCUAGCUUCAGGCUUAACACAUGCAAGUCGAGGGCCCGGCGCACGUGUGAGUCACACGUAUCCAACCUGCCCUUUACUCGGGGAUAGCCUUUCGACAGAACGAUUAAUACCCGAUAUAAAGGAUGGGGAUGCGUUCCAUUAGGUUGUUGGUGAGGUACCGGCCAACCAAGCCUUCGAUGGAUAGGGGUUCUGAGAGAAAGGUCCCCUACAUUGGAACUGAGACACGGUCCAAACUCCUACGGGAGGCAGCAGUGAGGAAGAUGUGUCAAUGGGCGGUAUCCUGAUCCAGAAAAGUAGAGCGAAGGAUGAAGGCUUAUGGGUCGUAAACUCGGCAUAGACAGGAAUGGGUAAGAGAUGAAUAAGAUUCGACUAACUCCGUGCCAGCAGCCGCGGUAAUAC